GUUAAUUGACCCAUUUUCUACAUGCUGAUGGUGGUACUUUUUAUCCUAGAUCAUUUGUUUCAACGACUUUAUUUUGACAGUUUAGGUAGAUUGUAUUAUAAACUUGUGUAAAACAAUUUAGUGCUUUCAAAAUGUGAUGGGGAUCACUACAAUUGUUUAGUGAAUCUGCAAUGGUGCAUGUUUUCCAUGGUGCAUUUCCGGAUGGGAAUGGAUGUCAAUCAAACACCUCCAGUUUUUAUAUCCACUGCUACAGUUUUCCAACUUGUGAACAAAACUUUCCAUUCAAAAUGAAACUUAACCCUUUUUAGAGUUUUUAAUCAUAUAUAUAAGAUCAUGUAUUUAUAAGCUUUGUAAAACAGAAGCAGAAUUGAACACAAAAGAUUCAUGCCGAUUUUUCCUCAUACAUGUAAUUUUAGAAAUAGCUUGAGUUUAAAACUGGGUUAAUAGUUCACUUGAAAUGGGUUGAUUUUAUGAAAACUGUGUCUGGAAUCUUCCUUGUGUUGAUCUUUGUCCAUUGAUAUGAUAAUAGUAUUGUGUGGUAAAGAAGAUGGUCUCAAGUUAUGCAAAAGUUUGUCAAAGAUUUGUGCAGUAAAUGAUGGUGGAAAAUCCUAAACUUAAUACAUGUUCCUUUCUUUUUAUAUACAUAAUUACUCCUUUUGUAUUUUGUUUUUCAUAUUUUUGUGAAUGCUGAGAACUCAACAGUGAUUUUUGUUUUUUGAAUUUUGUUGUAAAUGAACAUCAGUAAGCUGCAAUAUGUCAUUUUCCCCCAUGGUCUACAUGGGAUUUCUUUGACCUUAUUUUUAUAGUAUUCUUCGCCCGGAACAAUCAACAUAUGCGUAAAUCUCAGAAAAUUCAUCUAAAAUGAUGAUCAGGUUAAAGGAAAACACAGUUCUAUAGAGAAAACAGGGUCAUCAUUUUGGAUGGAGGGUAUAGGUUGGUUGUUCCAUAUAACAAAUAAAAUGGUUCUCCUUAAGUGUGAAAGCUGAGGUCCAUUGUUUUCAUGUACAAAUCAUAGGUAUGCUGGAUCAUCAUUCUCUUUAAAAGAAUUGACAAUAAAAAAGGCCGAUAACAAUAUGCCCUUAACCGUGAUCAAAUUGAAAUGUGUCAUGGGAGAAAUAAAUUAAUAAUAAACAUUC
rnacentral:misc_RNA from 1 species